CAUCACAUCUCAUCCCUAUUGCCUGUCUGUGUUCCUGCAAUCCAUCUGAUAUGUUUUGACUUAUCCGCAACAAAGACUGUCUGGUUUUCUUUCCUCUCACAUUUUCAGUAACAUCUGGCAUACCAGCACUGUUGCAAGCUGAAGUUUUCAGCUGCCAUUACAACACAACCCUCUCCUCUACCCCAAAUCUGACGAAAGUGUGGUCUCUGGCUAUUGAUUGUGAAAUAGACCACACUUGAAAAGAUGGAGACUGCCCUCACCUGCCUUCUAGUGCAAAACUGCAUGAGUGACAAUCAAAGUCAGGCUGAUUCCUGGCUUUUGGGAGCACAAGACAGGGCAGUAGAUGGCCACAGGAGCAUAGCAGAAGAAAUUUGGACCUUGUCUUUAUUCCUCUCUGCAAAAGAUGCAGGACUGAGGUUCCCUCCAGCCACCUCCUGAUGCUGCAGCAUUCACCCCACCUCACUUGCUUGGCAAGACACUGGGGACAAAGCCAAACAGCAGCACGUUUUCUCAUCCUAUCACCUCUCUGGGAGUUUUACCUCACACUAGAAGGGUCUGUCCUUUCUUUCCCCUUCACUCCUUCUUUAGCAAGGUUUUUUUCACUUUAAUCUCUCACAUUUUCCCUUGGCUCUAGUUCUGAAAAUUACUCUUCUCCCCAUCAGAACCUGAGCCUGUAUUUAACAGCUGCUUUACAUUAAUAUGCUUGUAUUAAAAUGUUCUAUGUUGUAA